CCAUGGCCGAACCUAGUUCAAUCCCAGAUAAGACAAUUACUCACACAUAAUUGAAAUAGAAAACAUGAUAACAAUAUAUAAGAUCAUAAUCAUAAACUAGAAAUUGAGAUAGAUCAAAAAGAUAAACCGUAGUGUUGAAGUUGCACACAAUUCUCCACAAACAGCAGAUUCCAAAUCAAAAGAAAACCUAAUCUAAGAGUUUUUAGAGAGAAGAAGAGAAGAAGAAGAAGGAAAAAUCAAGAUCUCUAGCCUCUGGUCUCUUUUCAGAUGCUUCAGGGUGUCUCCCUUUUAAUUUCGGGAAAAACGUGUUGAAAAAUAACUACAAAUAUUGCUCCAGAUCGCAUGAUAACUGACUGCUGUUAUCCAGCACGGCUGUGCAAAUCGACACGACCAGGCCGUGUUUAAUUCCGUUUCGCUCUGCUUUCUGGGCUUUUCUUCUGUAAUCAACACGCCUGUGUUGUUGAACACUGGGUGACUGUGUAGUCUCUUUUCAUGCAUUCCUUGACUCCUUCUUGACUCCGAAUCCACGCUAAACUCCAGUAAUUCCUACACAAUAUAUAAAUAGAGCAGUAAACAAGAACUAGGGAGCUUAACAGGGCAAAAGUGCAAGGACAUACAUCAAAUAACAAUGAAUCCGUAGGUAAAACAUAGUCAAAAUAUAGAUAAUAUUCAUGUUUAUCAACUCCCCCAUGCUUGAACUAUUGCUUGUCCUCAAGCAAAACAGAUGGAAACACACACAUGAGAGGGUACAGAUUCAAAGAAAAUAGAAAUUAAACACAAAUGUAUCCACUAUUCUCAAGUUCACAUGCAAUAUUAUUCCACUCAACCCAAUGUCAAAAUAGAAAUAUUGUCUUAAGUUCAAAGUUGAAGAAAAUGUAUCUGUAGGCGUUCACGUACAGUAGUGCAAGUGACUCAACUCAUAAACGUUGGAAAAAGAUAUGGCAUGACAAAGUUAAAAAUUUUUAGUUGAUUGCCCAAAACUCCUCGUGACAAACACAUAUCUCAUCACAAUGGGUCAUACUCUUCCUGCUUAAGGUCUCAAAAGAGCACUCGGUUUCCUUGCAUUUUAUUUAUUUAUUCAAUUUUCUUAUUUUUUUUUAAAUCCCGUCAUAGUUAACACCUAAUGACGUGACAGCCAUACUUCUGAGGGUGCGGUGCCAGGUACUCGGUGCAACAGGCUUUAGGAAUUUUUUUUUACAAGGCCGAGUGUUUCUCCAGUAACCAAAAAGUAGUCCAAGUCACCAAAGAAGCUUAGGUUUUAAUUAGAUGGGUUGAGCCAAAAUCCAUUCCUAUCUCUCCAAUGUUUAGAGUUAAGUAUCGACAAAGUGGAACUCGAACAGAUAACAUCCUAACCAACUAAACAUGAAACAAAGAUUUUUUUUAACAAUGGGGCAUGUGAAAUAAAUGAUGCACGUGUUAGAAGAGUUUUCAAACAGUGAUACUCUUUUUAUUUUCUUUUUUCUUUUUCUUUUAAAAGCUAAAUGAAAAAUCCCAACACAAAAAACAAGCACUCAAAAACACCAAAGCAUACAUGAAACAUCAUCCCAACAAACCAACUCACUCCCCUAUGCUUGAAUUGCACAUUCUCCCCAAUGUGCUUGAGUAAUUGAAAGGAGGAUAAGAAGGACUCACCGCUCAUUGAGGAGGUGGUGGAGGUGGAUAACCAUGAAUUAGGGACCAUUGGUGCAUAUGUUACGUCUGGUCAUUCAUUGUUCCAAGUGUAUUGCGAAAAUUGUCCAAGCGGGUGUCCAUGAUGAGAACAGAUCCGGAAGUUUCAGAUGUUGAAUGAAAGAAUUUGGUCAAUGAAUAUUGGCGUUGCUCUGGGCCUAACGACAAGGACGGUGUCUUAGCACUGGAGGCACGCCUAUCGGUUUGGUGGUGUUGGAUGUGAUGAAUGAGAGAGAGGCGGCAGUGUUGAGUGGAGGAAUCAACGUUGGGGAGGGAAGUGGUUUUGGGGAAGUUGUUAGUCGGCGAUUUUGAUGGUGAAGGAUGAAAGAGGACGGUGGUAUGAGGUGGUGAAGGGAAGGGAGGCGGUUGUUUGCUCAAAGAGGUGGGGUG